rnacentral:lncRNA from 1 species
CGCUCCGGGCCGCCGGCCCUCGCUUGGCGCGGAGACCUGGCUGCGAGACCAAGCGUGGCUUUGAUUCUGGCGCCUGCGUGUCAGCAGCGCGGCGUGGCCGGGAAAGCUGGGCCCCGCUCUGGGGGUCCCCCUGAUGGGCCUGAGAGGAAAACGCUUUGAAAUUGAUGGGAGCUGGGAAAGCCACUGAGAGGGACGUCCUCCCCUUGAGGCUGGCCUCUCCUCUUUUUCCGGAAGAUGCUACCCUGCACCCUUGAAACUAGAAAACCUGGUUGGAGUCUGCAAACCGCGAUGCAGGAUGUGGGCACCGAGAAAAAGCAAGAGAUCCCAGUCAGGACUUCGUUGGCCCAAACCACGGUCUGCAUGUCAGCAAAGACUUGGUUAUAAUCUCUGCAUACCUAAGAUUGCUUAGUUGAGCCAUCUUUUGGCAGCCCUUCGACGACCUUCACUAAAUCCUGGUUUCUUAGGAGCGCCCUCAUUUAACACCAAGGCCCUUUAGUUGCCUAUACAAAGGGAGGGCUUACAGUUAAUGACCUUUGUGCCCACACAGUAGUACAAGGUCAGCUAACUUAAUGUGCCCAGUGAAUGUCGAUCGGGUUAUUGGGAACUUCCUGAGAGAUGGAGCACCUUCGUUAGGAUUUCUGUUUCACAAUCUCAAGGCUUUAUUUUAGCACCUCUCUGCAAUACUUAAACAUAACCUUUGAGGUGAGAGGGAAAGGACAUUAAAAUAUCUACAUAACGCUUGAAAUCCAUCCAGGCAAGUUGGAGUAGAAACCUGAUGGAGAGACCAUGGAGGACUGCUGCUUAUUGGCUUGUCUCCCAU